GAUGAAGAAUGUAGCAAAAUGCGAUACUUGGUGUGAAUUGCAGAAUCCCGUGAACCAUCGAGUUUUUGAACGCAAGUUGCGCCCGAAGCCUUUUGGCCGAGGGCACGUCUGCCUGGGCGUCACGCAUCGCGUCGCCCCCCACAAUUCUCCGUAAAGGGAACGUGUGUUUUGGGGGCGGAUAUUGGUCUCCCGUGCUCAUGGCGUGGUUGGCCGAAAUAGGAGUCCUUUCGAUGGACGCACGAACUAGUGGUGGUCGUAAAAACCCUCGUCUUUUGUUUCGUGCUGUUGCUCGCAAGGUAAACUCUUUAAAAACCCCAAUGUGUCGUCUCUUGACGACGCUUCGACCGCGACCCCAGGUCAGGCGGGACUACCCGCUGAGUUUAAGCAUAUCAAUAAGCGGAGGA
rnacentral:misc_RNA from 1 species